AGAGAAUUCAAUAAACACCACUUCUUUUUGUCCAAUUACUAAUUGGCUUAACUUAAGGGGACUUUUUUAUUCAUUUUUUUCUUUCAUCCAAUCUUUUAUUUAAUUCUCAUUAAUUGAAAUAGCAUUGAAAGAAAGUCGAUAAAUAUGUACAAUUAAAAUAUUUAUUUUCCAUAAAUUGUUAAUAUUAUCUACAUUAUUCUUCCAAAAUUCAUAUUAAUAUCUAUUUUUUAUUAUUUCUUACGAUUUAUUUCUUACGAUUUUCGUUUUCAAAAUACACAAGCAAUCAAGUUAAAUCAACGAAAUCACACAAAAUUCCUGUCAACAUAACCCACUUUACGAAACCUAAUCAACUAAUUCACAAACGCUUCCUUCGAAUACCUUUCAAAUAUUCCUAAAUCUAAUUCAACAGAAUUUCCAAACACACAUUUCAAAUAUCCUCAACCUUCUCCUUAUUCGCAAAUAUCACCUUCCCAUCUUUCUUAACCUCUUUUCCCGCCAAUUUUUAUUUCUCUAGUUUCUUAUUUCCUAGUCUCUUUUCCCGCCAAUUUUUAUUUCUCUAGUUUCUUAUUUCCUAGCCUCUUUUCCCGCCAAUUUUUAUUUCUCUAGUUUCUUCCUAGCCUCUUUUCCCGCCAAUUUUUAUUUCUCUAGUUUCUUAUUUCUUAGCCUCUUUUCCCGCCAAUUUUUAUUUCUGUAGUUUCUUAUUUGAGAAAUUGCGAACAUACAUCGAGACACUAUCUGUCCUAAUAUCAAUAUCGAUAAACAGAAAUGGGAACGAAAUUUCUGGAUUUUCUAUUAAACUUGCUUCAUUUUCUGUACGUGUAUAUGAAUGUGUGCACCAGACGUCAAGAGGUAAAGUUACAAUCAUCGAGGCUAUUCGGUCAUUACAGAAUGUUGGAUCGGUAAUGAUGGGCGGAUACUUUCAUUUUUCUCUUUUCUUUUCUUCGUUUUCUCGAACAAAAUUAACCAACUACUCUUCACUGUGGACUUUAAGAAAGGUUACCGGAUGAGGGUCAGAUUCUUUCAACGUGUAUCCUUCACCAUGUAAGUGUUAAGUACAAGAUCUGCGAGGUUACUGGCGAGAUUAGACCUGCAACACCAAUAAUCGAAUAAUAACAAAGUCGACCAGCUUAUUUCCUCUUAUACCCAUCUAUUUCGGAAGCAGCGUUAUUCUACAAGAUCAGUAUCAAAGGCCGCCACGGUUCAGACUACAUCGGUUAUAAUCUAUCUUUUUUGAAAUUACUCGUUAUUUUGAAUGGAUACACGAUGAAUGGGUAUUCCGGAAUAGUUUAAACGUUUCUGAAAGUAAUUUUAAAAGAACCAAUAUAUUUUGGGGCGUUGCUACGUUAUUACAAGAUUUUACAAGGAUAAGAAAUAGGUUAUGUAGGAGUAGAGUAAUUGAAUAUUCUAACCUGUAAUCACUGAAAUAAUUUUGCACUAUCGAAGUUUCUGUAAGGAUCAAUUAAAUUUGAAUAAACUGGACGAUUAUGCGAACACUUCCGUGUUCUGUGCCCGGAGAAAAUGAUUCUGAGUGCGAACGAUAAAGAUAUCCGCAGCUUGGCAAAUUAUCGGAAAUACGAUGUUGUCGUCCCAUGUAACUGCGUGUAAACGUGUGCAUGAUCAUAAAUCACAAGCAGUGUAACUAUGCAUUUUACUUGCAACGAUGGGGAUGUCAGCAAUACUUGAAGAUUUACAUGGAACAUUUUCGUUACUACGCUAUAUUUUCAUUUCAUGGAAAAUCAUGGUGAGACAGUUAAGGUGAUAGAAAUAAAGAUAAGAUUGAUAAAAUAAAAUAAAAUAAGGAAUUUAUAAUAAAAUAAACGAGGAAGAAACUAAAAAAGAAGUAAGUAGAACAAAGGAAGCAGAAAGAAAAAAAUGAAUGGAAAAAAUCAAAGGAAAAUAAAGACAAGGUGAAAGGAAAAUAAUAAAAAAUGAAAGAAAUGACAGUAAUAAAGAUGAAAAAGGAGAGAAAGUAUCUUAGGUGCCGGAUCCUCAAUUUUGUCCACGUAGACGUAUGACGAAGGUACAGACUAAGAGAAAACGAUGAAAAAUCGGCAGAUAGCAAAGCCCCGUAACAAACACGCGAGAGAAAAUUGUAGCAUUUGCGGCACGUGAGAGGAUUGCAUGCAGUCCGCGUAAAAGGUCUAAGAAUCUAUGUGUAAAUAUAGUACAAAGAAACGGUCAGGUAAUUCAAAUGGAACUAUACAAUAAUUAUGAUGUAUAUAUGUAUGUACAGAAUGAUGCAUGCAAGUUGAAACAGACUAUUUUCUGAUUCUAAUUGAACGAAAAUGUUAGUGGAGAAAGGUGAUCAGAAUUCUCUGGAAUAAUAAUAAACGUGCGACAAUAAAUUUAUAAAUGAUACUCAAUAAUUUACAAGUGGCAAAUUAUAAGUUGGAUAUGGAAUUUCACGUUUCUUAAAAUUCACCCUGUAUACAUUAAAGCACAGAGAUACUUCCUUCAAACAUGGCUGACAUAUCAUAAGAGAUAUUAAGCUCGCUUAACGAAGAUUGCACCACGAAAGUUAGUAACGCUUUCUGAAACCCAGUUGAAAGAUAUUCAAACUGGUUCACGAGCUUUCUGCGUUAUAUUCAUUUCCAUCUUUUGCCACAUGAUUCCACAAAAUCGAAGUAAUAAGAUGAAAUCAAAGAAGAUCGAGUACGAAUAAAACAAAAUACAUUUCCACCAUUUCGUACAACCACUCUCGAACAAGAAUCCCUGUCGUAAGAAGUUACUUUACGAAAUUACUUUUCCAUCGAAAUUUUCUUUAUCGAACCUUCAUAAACCGGACGAUUUACCGCUUUCACCGGCUAAAACAUAACACAGAGUAUCAAGAUAAUCAGCCGAAGUAACAUUGCUAUCGGUACAAAUACAAAUUGCCCGACCCGUGAACUUGAUUGCCUAUCACAUUGCCCAAUGCAACAAUUUCGAUUCGUGGCCGUGUAUAAAUCUCAAAAAUUCUAUUCUAUGUUGGCGUGUUACAACGAAAAAAAAAAAAAAA